rnacentral:rRNA from 1 species
AGUGAACGCUGGCGGUAGGCCUAACACAUGCAAGUCGAACGGCAGCACAGUAAGAGCUUGCUCUUACGGGUGGCGAGUGGCGGACGGGUGAGGAAUACAUCGGAAUCUACUUUUUCGUGGGGGAUAACGUAGGGAAACUUACGCUAAUACCGCAUACGACCUACGGGUGAAAUCAGGGGAUCUUCGGACCUUGCGCGAUUGAAUGAGCCGAUGUCGGAUUAGCUAGUUGGCGGGGUAAAGGCCCACAAAGGCGACGAUCCGUAGCUGGUCUGACAGGAUGAUAAGCCACACUGGAACUGAGACACGGUCCAGACUCCUACGGGAGGCAGCAGUGGGGAAUAUUGGACAAUGGGCGCAAGCCUGAUCCAGCCAUACCGCGUGGGUGAAGAAGGCCUUCGGGUUGUAAAGCCCUUUUGUUGGGAAAGAAAAGCAGCAGGUUAAUACCCCGCUGUUCGGACGGGACCCAAAGAAUAAGCACCGGCGAACUUCGU